CCUACGGGAGGCAGCAGUGGGGAAUAUUGCACAAUGGGCGAAAGCCUGAUGCAGCGACGCCGCGUGAGGGAUGACGGCCUUCGGGUUGUAAACCUCUUUCAGCAGGGAAGAAGCGAAAGUGACGGUACCUGCAGAAGAAGCGCCGGCUAACUACGUGCCAGCAGCCGCGGUAAUACGUAGGGCGCAAGCGUUGUCCGGAAUUAUUGGGCGUAAAGAGCUCGUAGGCGGCUUGUCACGUCGGGUGUGAAAGCCCGGGGCUUAACCCCGGGUCUGCAUUCGAUACGGGCUAGCUAGAGUGUGGUAGGGGAGAUCGGAAUUCCUGGUGUAGCGGUGAAAUGCGCAGAUAUCAGGAGGAACACCGGUGGCGAAGGCGGAUCUCUGGGCCAUUACUGACGCUGAGGAGCGAAAGCGUGGGGAGCGAACAGGAUUAGAUACCCUGGUAGUCCACGCCGUAAACGGUGGGAACUAGGUGUUGGCGACAUUCCACGUCGUCGGUGCCGCAGCUAACGCAUAAGUUCCCCGCCUGGGGNGGACGGCCGCGAGACGAAACUACAAAGAAGUAAGUACGG
rnacentral:rRNA from 1 species